CGGAGUCUUCUUCCUCAACCUUCCAUUCUCUUCUUCUUCCUCUUCCUCAACCUUCCUCUACCUCCCCCCUUCUUUUUCUUCCUCACCUUCAGUCUGUAACAACAUCAUCACCAUCCUCUUCUAACUCUUUUGUGGAUUAUUUUUCAGGUUAUAGACUGAAUCGAGUUUUACCGGUGGAUUUUGAAGCUAAAAAGGUUAUAGGCUGGAUCGGGUUUUACCGGUUAUAAACUAGAUCGAGUUUUACCGGUGAGUUUUGAAGGUGACAAGGUAUGGGUUCUUUUUGGUUUUCUCUCGGGGAUUAUUAUUAUAGUUAUUUUCUAUUUAUAUAUUACUUAUGGUUACUGAAAGGAAUUUGUGUAAGAACGGGACAUUAAAAUUUUCAUUUUUAGCCUUACAAUAAUUUAUAUGCAAAGUCUCUCCCUGUUUUGAUUCAAGAGGAAAUGUAAAAGUGAUUAUGGCUACCAACAGAAUUGAAAGUCUUGAUCAUGUUUUUUUACGACCUCGUCGUAUUGACUAAUAUGUAACACCGUUAUUAAGUUAACUUUGGGUGGAUCAUAGCUACUCAUUUGUCUCUGUACCCGACAAUCCUUAUU